CAGUCGCCACGGGAAUACGUAGGUGGCAAGCGUUGUCCGGAAUUAUUGGGCGUAAAGCGCACGUAGGCGGCUUUGCAAGUCAGAGGUGAAAGCCCCGGCUCAACCGGGGAGGGUCAUUGGAAACUGGGAAACUUGAGUGCAGAAGAGGAGAGUGGAAUUCCACGUGUGGCGGUGAAAUGCGUAGAGAUGUGGAGGAACACCAGUGGCGAAGGCGACUCUCUGGUCUGUAACUGACGCUGAGGAGCGAAAGCGUGGGGAGCGAACAGGAUUAGAUACCCCGGUAGUCCCUGUCUCUUAUACA
rnacentral:rRNA from 1 species